rnacentral:rRNA from 1 species
UACGAAGGGGGCUAGCGUUGUUCGGAAUCACUGGGCGUAAAGCGCACGUAGGCGGAUCUUUAAGUCAGGGGUGAAAUCCCGGGGCUCAACCCCGGAACUGCAUUGGAUACUGCCUUGCUAGAGUACUGGAGAGGGAACUGGAAUUUACGGUGUAGCAGUGAAAUGCGUAGAGAUCGUAAGGAAGGCCAGUGGCGAAGGCGAGUUCCUGGACAGUUACUGACGCUGAGGCACGAAGGCCAGGGGAGCAAACGGG